GGCCUCACCAUUUUAGUCCUUUUUGCGGAGUGGGCUCGUGGGUUGCUGGUAGAAGAGAUGUAAUGUUUUUCUACCGCGUGCUGCAGGCCCGGCUGUUGAGUGAGGGGGAGCAGGGGAUCCCAAUGGCCUGCCCUGCCUUUGCGCAGCAGCCAGCGGGCAGGUACGUCGCGGCCUGGCCGAGGGAGGAGAGCGCGGUCCCCAGUCGAGGAAUUGUAAGACGUUCAUCGCUGUGUUAUCCUUGAGUAAAGAAACGGGCUUUUACCAUGUCCAGGCUGGUCUCGACUCCUGGGCUCAAACAGUCCUCCUGCCUGUCUCCCAAAGUACUGGAGUUACAGAGAAUGUGAGCUCUGGAAGCCCAGCCAGGGACAAUGCUCCUUCACAGAGAUUCUGCACUAACCUGAGUGAAGGCCUAAGGUUUGGAACCUCCCCCUCGUGGAAAGAAGCUUUGUAUGGCUGUCAUGCUUAGACAGUGAUUCCUGCGACUUGACCUUCAGGCUGGGAGAGGUGGAGAGCCAUGCGUGUUCUCCUUCGUUGCUAUGGAAUUUGCUGACACAAUAUCUUCUGCCUGGUGCUGGGCAUAUCCUAAGAACUGACAACUUUCCUGUAUUACCCUGUGUGAGCAGCUGUGUCACCUUAUUGGGGGAAGAAUGCCUGAAAAUUAGGGGGCACUUCAAGUAGAGAGCUUCUAUUUCCUGUAUUUGUCUUAUAUACAAGUAUUUGCUUUUAUCAAAAUAAUUCUAAUAAAACAUUUUAAAGUAAACAA